rnacentral:tRNA from 1 species
GGAAAAUAGCUCAGUUGGUUGAGUCUUGCCUAGCAUGCACAAAGCCCUGGGUUCAAUCCCCAGAACCA